rnacentral:rRNA from 1 species
UAUAAUUUACUUGAUCUUGACACAAUCCUACUUGGAUAACUGUGGUAAUUCUAGAGCUAAUACAUGCAUUAAAGCUCUGACCUCACGGGAAGAGUGCAUUUAUUAGAACAAAACCAAGCGGCUUCGGCUGUUUCUGGUUGACUCAUAGUAACUGAGCUGAUCGCAUGGUCUUGCACCGGCGACGUGUCUUUCAAGUAUCUGCCGUAUCAACUUUCGAUGGUAGUGUAUCUGACUACCAUGGUGAUCACGCGUAACGGAGAAUAAGGGUUCGGCUCCGGAGAGUUCGCCUGAGAAAUCGCGAACACAUCUAAGGAAGGCAGCAGGCGCGAAAAUUACCCACUCUCAGCACGAGGAGGUAGUGACGAAAAAUAACGAGACCGUUCUCUUAUGAGGCCGGUCAUCGGAAUGGGUACAAUUUAAACCCUUUAACGAGUAUCUAUGAGAGGGCAAGUCUGGUGCCAGCAGCCGCGGUAAUUCCAGCUCUCAAAGUGCAUAGAAUUAUUGCUGCGGUUAAAAAGCUCGUAGUUGGAUCUGUGCCAUAGGACGUGGUCCACCUUCGGGUGCGUACUACGCUCCUAGGCUUUUUGCUGGUUUUCCCGUCGUAGCCUUCACUGGUUGCGGCGGGUGGCUGGCGAGUUUACUUUGAGAAAAUCAGAGUGCUCAAUACAGGCGUAUCGCUUGAAUGAUUGUGCAUGGAAUAAUAGAAAAGGAUUUCGGUCCUCUUUUAUUGGUUUUGUGGACUGAGAUAAUGGUUAACAGGGACAAACGGGGGCAUUCGUAUCUCUGCGUGAGAGGUGAAAUUCUUGGACCGUAGAGAGACGCCCUACUGCGAAAGCAUUUGCCAAGAAUGUCUUCAUUAAUCAAGAACGAAAGUCAGAGGUUCGAA